UUUGGGAUCGUCUAAUGGCAGGACGGAUGAUUUUGGAUCAUCAAAUGCGUGGUUCGAGUCCCGCUCCCAAAGCAA
rnacentral:tRNA from 1 species